rnacentral:rRNA from 2 species
UGUAUUACGCAGGCGGACGGGUGAGUAACACGUGGGCAACCUGCCUAUAAGACUGGGAUAACUUCGGGAAACCGGAGCUAAUACCGGAUACGUUCUUUUCUCGCAUGAGAGAAGAUGGAAAGACGGUUUACGCUGUCACUUAUAGAUGGGCCCGCGGCGCAUUAGCUAGUUGGUGAGGUAAUGGCUCACCAAGGCGACGAUGCGUAGCCGACCUGAGAGGGUGAUCGGCCACACUGGGACUGAGACACGGCCCAGACUCCUACGGGAGGCAGCAGUAGGGAAUCUUCCGCAAUGGACGAAAGUCUGACGGAGCAACGCCGCGUGAACGAAGAAGGCCUUCGGGUCGUAAAGUUCUGUUGUUAGGGAAGAACAAGUACCAGAGUAACUGCUGGUACCUUGACGGUACCUAACCAGAAAGCCACGGCUAACUACGUGCCAGCAGCCGCGGUAAUACGUAGGUGGCAAGCGUUGUCCGGAAUUAUUGGGCGUAAAGCGCGCGCAGGUGGUUCCUUAAGUCUGAUGUGAAAGCCCACGGCUCAACCGUGGAGGGUCAUUGGAAACUGGGGAACUUGAGUGCAGAAGAGGAAAGUGGAAUUCCAAGUGUAGCG